UUUUUGUUUUUUCUUAUCCGUUAAUUUCGUUGUGGACAAGUGGAUCUGGUUUUUCCCCAUCAUCCUCACCAUUUUCCUCUCCCAAAUCGCCCAAUUUUGCCAAAAAAUCGUAUUCAUAAACCAUCUCAUGGGAUCCCCUGACUGGAUCUGGAUUGGAAGGCCCGGACAACCGGCCACUUGGCUCGGACAUUUAGUCUCUUGAGGACAACAAGCCAUAUGCGCCUUGUUUUGAAGUUUUUCUUCGAUUCUUCCGCCAUUUCUUCUGCAUCCCAUUUACAUUUGAGAUUUUUAGUCAUGAGCCC
rnacentral:lncRNA from 1 species